AGGACCCAAUUCUAUUGGGACCUGCGUCAGGACCCAAUUCUCUUGAGUCCAGCGUCAGGACCCAAUUCUCUUGAGUCCGGUGUCAGGUCCCAACGCUAAUGGGUCUU
rnacentral:pre_miRNA from 1 species